UACGGAGGAUCCGAGCGUUAUCCGGAUUUAUUGGGUUUAAAGGGUGCGUAGGCGGCCUGUUAAGUCAGGGGUGAAAGACGGUAGCUCAACUAUCGCAGUGCCCUUGGUACUGAUGGGCUUGAAUGUACUAGAGGUAGGCGGAAUGUGACAAGUAGCGGUGAAAUGCAUAGAUAUGUCACAGAACACCAAUUGCGAAGGCAGCUUACUAUGGUAUUAUUGACGCUGAGGCACGAAAAGCGUGGGGGAUCAAACAGG
rnacentral:rRNA from 1 species